rnacentral:rRNA from 1 species
UACGUAGGGUGCGAGCGUUAAUCGGAAUUACUGGGCGUAAAGCGUGCGCAGGCGGUUUUUUGAGCCAGAUGUGAAAGCCCCGGGCUUAACCUGGGAAUGGCAUUUGGGACUGCAAGGCUUGAGUGCGGCAGAGGAGACUGGAAUUCCGCGUGUAGCAGUGAAAUGCGUAGAGAUGCGGAGGAACACCGAUGGCGAAGGCAGCCCCCUGGGCUAGCACUGACGCUCAGGCACGAAAGCGUGGGGAGCAAACAGG